UGGUUCUGGCAUCGAUGAAGAACGCAGCGAAAUGCGAUAAGUAAUGUGAAUUGCAGAAUUCAGUGAAUCAUCGAAUCUUUGAACGCACAUUGCGCCCUUUGGUAUUCCGAAGGGCAUGCCUGUUCGAGCGUCAUUAUAACCACUCAAGCUCGUGCUUGGUAUUGGGGUUCGCGGACAGCGGCCCCUAAAGUCAGUGGCGGUGCUUGCAAGCUCUACGCGUAGUAAUCUCUCCUCGCGACAGGGUCUUGCAGGUGGCUGGCCAACAACCCCCAACUAUCACCAGGUUGACCUCGGAUCAGGUAGGGAUACCCGCUGA
rnacentral:misc_RNA from 1 species